rnacentral:sRNA from 4 species
AUAUCUCUCCGUACGGGAAGGAUGAGAAGCUUCGACUAAGGUUCGAUUCGAGCGCAGCGAGAACGCGUUGCCGCAGGCAACGAC